UUUUUGGGACGCGCGCGUCUGGAAUUACGGUACUUGCGUUCGAGUGCGCGAGCGGAAAUACGGUAGUUUUUUUUGUGACGCGCGCGUCUGGAAUUACGGUAGUUGCGUUCGAGGGCGUGCGCGGAAAUACGGUAGUUUUUUUUGUGACGCGCGCGUACUCGGAAUUACGGUAGUUGCCUUCGGAAAUACGGGUGGUUGUGGUGGGCGCGCGUCCGGAAAUACGGUAGUUUUUUGUGACGCGCGCGUCUGGAAUUACGGUAGUUGCAUUCGGAAAUACGGGUGGUUGUGGUGGGCGCGCGUCUGGAAUUACGGUAGUUGUGUGUGGAUGCGCGCCCUGAAUUACCGGUGAAUUACGGUAGCUGCGGCGCGCAUGCGCAUUUGUGACUAGGGGGAUUGUGCGGCUCUUCGGGAAGUACGGUAAUUGUGCGCAUGCGCGUUUGGAAACAUCGGAGUUCCGGUAGCCGGUGCGGUUGGAAUUACGGUAGUUGUGCGCAUGCGCUCUGGGAGAUACCGGAUGGGCGCGACACGAGGAAAUACGGUAGUGAUGGCGCGCAGGCGCGUUUGGCAAGGGUAGCGAGGUGCGCAUGCGCGUUGGGAAAUACGGUACCUUUGGAAUCAGGGCGCCCUCGGAAUUACGGCACUUGAGAUGUGAUGCGGAUUUGUACUUACGCCUCAGCAGAAUCCCUGACUUGCAAUUUUUCCAGGAAUUUGGCCGACUGUCUCAGCAGGAUCGGCGGCUCCACCGUGCCCGAGGUGGUGUUCUCUUUUCCAGGGCUGCGAGAGCUUCCUCACGUCCAGCCCGUGGUUUUUUUUUUGGGGAGCAGAAGGACCCAAAACCCGUCAAGUUUUCUCCUCUGAGCUCCUCUGGGACGUGCUGGGAAAGGGUGAGUCAGUAAAAUUUUGGGGUUUUUUCCUCCUGCUCCUGUUGCUCUUUAGGUUUAGUUUUGGAAAUGUUUUGUUUCGGGCUGGUUGUUUUUCUGGUUUUUUUGGGGUUUUUUCAAUUUAACCUGAUUUGUGCGGAAUAAAAUUUCCUUUUCUCUACGCGUCCUGAUCCAAGAGAAUCCAUUCCACCACCAAAUCAUGGAAUGGUUUGGGUCAGAAGGGAAUUUCAUGGAGUUCCACCUCCCUAAAAUGGGCUGUGACACUUCCACGACCCCAUGGAGCUCCGAGCCACUUCCAACCUGGCCUUGGACGCUUCCAGAGGAAAAUCAGGAUGUCACCGAGGGAUCUGAUGUGGCACUUGGGGACGUGGCCGAUGUCCCUUCCAACCCCAAACCAUUCCAUGGUUCUGUUCCUGAAUUCUCUUUGUUCUGCCUGGAGCUUUUCAGGGAAGCUCCGAGCAAAUUUCCUCUGGCUUUUAAACCUUGAUUAAAAAUGAGAUGCCGACAACUCAAGCCAAGUGAAUUCCCGCUGUCUCCGUCGCCAUGGAAACGUGAGGCUGUUGUCUUUUAAUAUUUUUAAGUUAUAUAAAUGCUUGGAACAACUCUGAAACCCCCCCUCAACGAUUAAACAAGAGGAACAGAGGAAAAAUCAAAUCCACUUUUCCAUCAAGGAAAUGGAUGAUCUUGAGGGUCUCUCCCAGAUUGAACCAUUCCAUGGAAAAAAAUCCAAUCCCAUUGAUUCCACAGCCCAAAUCUUGGAGUGCUGAUGUUUUAAUCCCAUAUUUUAACACGCUGCUCCCUCUCCGUUCUCCCCGGCCUGUUGCAAAUCCAACCCUAAGGAAUGAAGCUGGAGAACGAGACUCCUUCAGGACUGGAGGGCGUUUUUCGGGAUGAUUUUAUUUUUCCCAUGUUGGUGAAUUUGCUUUUCUGGCUCUCCUGAUGUUCACACAACCCUGAGCAGUUUCUAAAUUCAUAUAAAAUCCUCAUUUCUGUUUGCUUGGCUUGUCCGUGUCCAGCUGGGAAAUUGGGAAAUGUUGUUGUUGUCCCACCUGGGAGCGGGAGCCGCAGGAAUUCAGCUGAGUAACAGCGGAUUUUGGGAGUGGAAAAUAUAAUUUCAGUCCUUGGGAGCUGCACCUGAGUCCUCUCCUGGUUCUUGGGCAAUCCUGGCAGGGAAUAACAAACCCUGGGAGGAGAGGGAGGCUCGGAGCAUCCCGGUGUGCACAGGCCAAAGGAGGCCCGGGAAGAAACCCGGAA
rnacentral:lncRNA from 1 species